CUGGGCACGGCCAGGUGUCGGAGCUGCUGGGAGCCAGGCACCUCACACCAUGGCAGCCGCUGCUCCAUGCAUGUUAGCGGGAGCACGAUCCGGGACGUAGCGAGGGCCAGCCGCAGCAGCCAUCUUAGCAAAAUAUCGCAAAAGCAUAUCCUUUCCUGUUUCUCCCAGAUGUCAUACACUGAGUUAUGAUUUCCCUCUGCUCUUCAUCCAAGAGGCCCCACUCUGCCUCACAGAAAUGCAAAGCCACCUCAUCGAAGGUCAUCAGCAUCUGAAACAAGAAUUCCUACUCAGUGCCUGUUGGCCUGCAACAAUCCAACCAUUCAGUCACAGGGCAAGAAGCAGAGGCAGAAUAAAAAGUCCUUCCACCACUGUGGGUAGGAUCCUCAUGCUGUGCCUGCACAAGACAUCACUAGCAUCAUGUAUCUGAUGCAGGAGACAAGCAAGAAAAUAAGUGGAAGAGGGACAGAAUGAGGUUUUAUUUUGUAUGAACAAUUUCCUCCCUUUCACCCUUAGAGUUAUUAACCACUCCCUCCUUCCAACUGGGUUUUGGUUUCCAACAAACCUAAAUUCUCAACAUGAAGUUAGUGGAAACCAUUGAAUUUCACCUGGUCUUGUAUCAAACCCUGUGACAAGUGUGAAUGGUGAAAUCAUAUGUAGGCUCAAGAACCUUUGAAAGGUUCAUGAGUCUGUCAUAGAAUUA